GACGAACGCUGGCGGCGUGCUUAACACAUGCAAGUCGAACGGAAAGGCCCCUUUUGGGGUACUCGAGUGGCGCACGGGUGAGUAACACGUGAGUAACCUGCCCUUGACUUCGGGAUAACUUCAGGAAACUGGGGCUAAUACCGGAUAGGAAUCCUUGCUGCAUGGUGGGGGUUGGAAAGCUUCGGCGGUUUUGGAUGGACUCGCGGCUUAUCAGCUUGUUGGUGGGGUAGUGGCUUACCAAGGCUUUGACGGGUAGCCGGCCUGAGAGGGCGACCGGCCACAUUGGGACUGAGAUACGGCCCAGACUCCUACGGGAGGCAGCAGUGGGGAAUAUUGCACAAUGGGCGGAAGCCGGAUGCAGCAACGCCGCGUGCGGGAUGACGGCCUUCGGGUUGUAAACCGCUUUCAGCAGGGGCGAAGCUUGUGGUGACGGUACCUGCAGAAGAAGCACCGGCUAACUACGUG
rnacentral:rRNA from 1 species